rnacentral:sRNA from 1 species
UGUCGCUGCCCUCCUUGGGCGUUUCCUCCCUAGACUUGGGCCGUUCGCUUGCGGACGGCCCCUUUCUUUUUUGGGC